rnacentral:rRNA from 1 species
GACGAACGCUGGCGGCGUGCCUAAUACAUGCAAGUCGAGCGCUGAAGGUUUGUACUUGUGCCAACUGGAUGAGCAGCGGACGGGUGAGUAACGCGUGGAUAAUCUUCUUCUGAUCGGGGGACAACAUCUGGAAACGAAUGCUAAUACUGCAUAAAAACUUUAAACACAAGUUUCAAGUUUGAAAGAUGCAAUUGCAUCACUAAAGGAUGAUCCCGCGUUGUAUUAGCUAGUUGGUGAGGUAAAGGCUCAGCAAGGCGAUGAUACAUAGCCGACCUGAGAGGGUGAUCGGGCACAUUGGGAAUGGGACAAGGCCCAAACUCCUUCGGGGGGCAGCAGUAGGGGAACUUCGGCAAUGGACGAAAGUCUGACCGAGCAACGCCGGGUGAGUGAAGGAGGGUUUCGGAUCGUAAAACUCUGUUGGUAGAGAAGAAAGUUGGUGAGAGUGGAACGCUCAUCAAGUGACGGUAACUAAACAGAAAGCGACGGCUAACUACGUG